rnacentral:rRNA from 1 species
UACGAAGGGGGCUAGCGUUGCUCGGAAUCACUGGGCGUAAAGGGUGCGUAGGCGGGUCUUAAGUCAGGGGUGAAAUCCUGGAGCUCAACUCCAGAACUGCCUUUGAUACUGAAGAUCUUGAGUUCGGGAGAGGUGAGUGGAACUGCGAGUGUAGAGGUGAAAUUCGUAGAUAUUCGCAAGAACACCAGUGGCGAAGGCGGCUCACUGGCCCAAUACUGACGCUGAGGCACGAAAGCGUGGGGAGCAAACAGG